rnacentral:lncRNA from 1 species
UCUGGACUGGGGAUGGAGCUCAGAGGAGCAAGGCAUCUAGCUCCCUCAGCCUUUCUUGCAGUAGAGACCCCACAUCCUGGCUGGGUGCCAGGUUGGGAGUAAGGGUUCUGCUUGCUGCGGUGCGGACCCCUCGUGAUGGUCGCCGGGAUCGAGGAAGGCUACUGUCCCGAAAUUCUACUGCCCUUCGGAGCUUCCUAGAGCUGGUAAAAAUCAGAGUUCCAUUGCGCUCCCGUGGUUCCUCAAAGAUGGUCUCAAAGGUCCUGGGUCAGGCAGGGAGCAAGAGAUCUUUACCAGGAUUCUCCCUGGUUCAAACAGCCCUCUACUGCCCUCAGACCUUCCAAGUUUCUCACCUUCUGGUUGUGGGUGAUUGGUAGUUCUUAUUUGUAUAAAUUUCUUCCAAAGUGAACUCCUUCUUAUUCAACCUGGAAACAAAGAGCAGAGGGCACUGAAGAUAUGGGCAAAGCCUGAUGCUGAUGGGAAUUUUGGUUUCUGGGCCAGGUGAGAGUCAGAAGUGAUAGGUGAGGAGAUUCUAUGCACACGCCAUGUCCAUGCCAAAUGUAAUGUCCCAGGUUCCUAUGCUCCCUGAGAGGACUAGGACUGUCACCUACUUGGUCAAGGUAGCUCCCUGCUCUCUGAGCCUCUUACCUGAUUGGUCGAGGCAGCCCCAUUGGUGUAAGGUUUGGUUGGAGACGGACAGGUGUCCUCCGUAUUCUGAAUCUAGAAACCUUCCCCAUGGUCUGCAAAAAAUGGGCAGAGGGUGAAAGAAAGGCUUGGGCUCAGGCCUUGGCUGGCUCCUGUCUUUAUACUCACUCAUUACCUUGGUCUCUGGAUCAGAAAACACCUUGUCUUUUGAGGCUCUUAACUCCUUCCCCUUCGUUGAACCCAACCUGCAGAGAUGGUCAACAGUCAGGACAAGGGCAUACACAGCAAUGCACUCGUCUUCUGCCAGUGAAUACUAAGCAAGGGAGGCAAGGCUCAGGCUGAGGCCAGAGUUCCAGAGGGGGAGUGAGAGCACUACCUGGGUUCUGCCGGCUCGCAGAAGAAGGAAGCAGGGGCAUUGGCUGAGCAAGAUGUAGUGAGAGAAGGAGAGACUCCCACUCCUCCAAGAGGGAAGACCUCUUUCCGGAGACAGGGUCGAGGAGGUGGUGGGGUCCGGGCCAUCUCCCCACAACCCACAGUAUGUCUCCGGGGCCUGGACUGGCUUGGCUGGGAUGGGACAGGAGGCCAGCUACCUGGGUCAGGGGGCCCUAGAUCAGGGCAGGAGUAGCUUCGUCCCAGAGAUGACUUAGAGACAGGUGCUAGGGAAUUGCACUGAGUCCGCCACUGGCGGAUAGGGGGCCUGGGGCUGACAGAUGUAAUUUUCUCAGUAGCCCUGGACUGCUCAGCCUCCGAGAUGGCAAUCUUCAAUUCUAAUUUCAUGGGAGGUGAAGGGGGUGGAGGCUGUGGUGUUUUGUUAGGUGUGAAGAAGAUAUCAGCAAAGCUUUCAAGCUUUGAUCGGACGGAACGGAAGAGAGGGGCCAAGCCCCAGGGACUGAGACGGGGUCGUAAAAGGCUUGACGAUGUUGGAAUCACCGGGGUCUCCAGAGCAGGAUCUGCAGUUGGAGAAAGGACGCUCAGGUGACUAAAACAUUACCUCAGAAGCCUCAGUUUCUUCCUCCAAACACUAAUCUGUCUCUAGAGGAGUGAGCCUGCUCCUAAAAUGCUGUAAUAGGAUUGCCUAAUGCCAUAAGCCCUGGAUUUGAUCCCCAGUACUGCAAAGCAAGGCCAUAACUGCUCAACUCCUUGAGCCUAAAUCCCAUUGUUACACAGCCUGCUCUGCCAAGGGAGCCGGCUAAGCUCCACCCACAGUUCUGCUCCUCCUGUUUCAAGCUUAACCGUGGCAGUUCCAAAUUCUUCAGUCUCAUUCCUCUAUUUGAGUCCUUACCUGGUACUGGACUCUCUGGAGGAUCUGCAGGUAGAGUAGACAGUUGGAAUGGGGGUUCUAGGUCACUGGGUGUAGGCAUUGGCUGACCAGCUUUUGUCACAGGCUCAGCUCUCGGGUGAAGGGACAAAGUAAGAGUUGGGCGUGCUUCCAAGUCCAGACCCCUUCUGUGGCAGUGCUUCCCCGGGCCCUUCAGGCUUCUGAAGGUGCUGUAAGGAAGGAUUAGACAGGUAAAUCCUGAUGCCCCCAGCUCUGGAUAUCUGCAUGAUAGCUUUGAUAAUCCUUUCCCCACCCUCUCACCUUUGUGCUGGGACAAUGAGGUUGGGCUGAUCUUCAUCAAAACCCUGGAUAUAAACAGGGG